UACAGAGGGUGCAAGCGUUAAUCGGAAUUACUGGGCGUAAAGCGUGCGUAGACGGUUAUGUAAGUCAGAUGUGAAAGCCCCGGGCUCAACCUGGGAAUGGCAUUUGGGACUGCAAGGCUCGAGUGCGGCAGAGGAGACUGGAAUUCCUGGUGUAGCAGUGAAAUGCGUAGAUAUCAGGAGGAACACCGAUGGCGAAGGCAGGUCUCUGGGCUGACACUGACGCUCAUGCACGAAAGCGUGGGGAGCAAACAGG
rnacentral:rRNA from 1 species